ACUCACCAUUUUCCUCAGCCGCUAGGGCUCUGCUCUCCACCAUCACUUCCACCUGCAAUCCUAAUACCUUACCUUUCCCACCACCGUCUCCCCCCUGCCUUCCAUUUCUCUGGCCACUUCCUCCAUCCUUCGCCACUCUCGCCACUGUCCACCCCAAAUUUCAGACACAUUUAGGGCUUGUGAGACACCCAGGAAGGAUAAUGCUUGUGAGACACCCAGAGGGAUCGAGAAUUGCCGAACCAAAUUGCACCCAGCAAAGCAAACAAGCCUAGAUCUCUCCAAGUCAUCAUUUCAGGCCUCGAUACUGUUCACCAUAACCAUUCCAGCCUCCGCUCAAACGGUUUUUAUCUGGGCCUCCGUAGGCAUUUCUGGGCACCUCAGUUCAUCUUGAAGCUGCAGAAACUUCCUGGUUUCUUCCCAGAUUCCCAACAAAAAGGCGAAAGAGCUGCUUGUGUGCUGGAAAAUCCUUACCAGCCGAAGCUUUAAGUCACUAGAAUAAAUUUAGGACAUCUCCAAACAAUUUUGUGCACAUAAGUGAUGAUCUCAGCAACAUCUCCAAAUUACUUUUGCAAAAAGAUUCCGUCCAGAUAAGUCAGCAUAAGUUCUUCAUUUAACAUAUGUAUGGAUUUUUCAGGUGCCUAUUUGCCUCUCACUUUUAGUUCUAUAAUGCAGUGGCUGCUGAAUCUGGAGUGGUCACCUCAGAAUUGAUAUGCGUCACCUGGGAAUUGAUAUGCGUAGAACAGCUAUGCCGAAUAGGAAAGAUUUUUGGGUGAAACAGAGCGAGCAAGAUCCAUCUCUGAGCUUGCAAUUCAGCAACCUGCAUUAGACAUUCCACAGUUACUAUGGAAGGAAUCCAUCGACUUUGAGAUACCGGUGAAGGACUUGUCCUUGAGCUGCAUGAACCUAUGUGGUGAUCAAUGUUGCUGUUUUUUUUUUUUUGUUUUUUUCAUGCUAUCCAGAUGCUUGUUGAGCUCAUUUCACAUCAUACUAGAGAUUGGUUAAGAAGUGUUAUUUGUCGAGUCUGAUUGGACAUGCAAGUCAGAAAAUGAUACUUGUGUUGGCAUUUAAAUUUUGCUUCCAAAUUUUUAUGCUGGCCUUCGGCAUUUUCAUUCGGUUGUAUUGUUAGGGGAGUGAAAUGGAGACUUGGAACUUGUAGGUGUUAUGACUAACGAACUUGCAAGUUAAUAAAUUAUAGAUGAAUGGGUUAUGGUACA